GUGCGCCGUAUGAGGGAAAACCUCACGUACGGUGCGACGAGGGGGUGCUGGAAACGGGAAGAUGGAAAGGUCUACACGGGCACGGAGCUGGAAACAGCGGAUACAGACAAGAUCAAUCCUGCACUUUACCGCGCCAGCGCUCUACUCUAAC
rfam:Candidatus Caedibacter acanthamoebae plasmid Plasmid_00003, complete sequence.